rnacentral:rRNA from 1 species
GACAGAGGGUGCAAACGUUGCUCGGAAUCACUGGGCGUAAAGGGCGUGUAGGCGGGAAGGAAAGUCAGAUGUGAAAGCCCUGGGCUCAACCCAGGAACUGCAUUUGAAACUCCCUUUCUUGAGUGUCGGAGAGGAAAGCGGAAUUCCUGGUGUAGAGGUGAAAUUCGUAGAUAUCAGGAGGAACACCGGUGGCGAAGGCGGCUUUCUGGACGACAACUGACGCUGGAGACGCGAAAGCCGUGGGGAGCAAACAGG